rnacentral:pre_miRNA from 1 species
UGAUAAUCCGUCCCUAAAGUUAGAGAGGGAUUUAAAAAUCCGUCUCUAAAGUUAGAGACGGAUUUAAAAAAUCCGUCUCUAGAUUUACAUAUGAAUAUUUUAUUCCACGUAUUUAAUUUAGAGACGGAUUUUCAAAAUCCGUCUCUAAUUUAGGGACGGAUUUUUAAAUCCGUCUCUAACUUUAGGGACGGAUUUUUA